ensembl:lncRNA
AGACCUCGUUUAACAGCUGACUGCCACUGGGGAAGGGUCUUUGGUUGGAGAUCUCUCCCUUGUGGAGUUUGUCUUGUGAGCCUAGUUCUUCAGAGAUGGUUCUCCAGUUGGUCCCAAAGGCAACUUUUUCCGUAUUUGGUGCCUCCAAAGUUCCUUGAGAUGCUUGGAUGAAUUGUCCUAUAACUGACCAUCCUUUUUUUGGGCGGGUGAAACAGGGAUUGAAGUGGACCUUGUCCCAUUGCCCUGGAGAGGCGUAGGAUGAAGACAGGCUCUUCCUGGCUGGAGGUCACAGCCAAUGCCCAGAAGCAGGAGGUGCGCUUUGGGCCCACAGUCACCUCCAGAAACUGAGCAGGGACUGCACGCAAAACUCUAUGUUCCUUCAACUAAGGCAGAAUUUUUGACUUUCUGUUUGUUCAAAAUUUUUAAGAAGUUUGGUUUUAAAGAAGUUUGGUUUGGGGUUUAUCCCAAGUGAAUGUCUCUGCUUGCACUUCCUCUAACCCUGCCAGCCAUUUUUCUGGUUGACUACAUAGUUGACAAACCAACAAAAGACCACAGGUAUUCAUAUGAUGCUAAGUGAUGUUUUUGGGGGUUUCAAGCCCAUUUUUGAGUUGCCACAGUAUGAAUUUUAGCAUUUUCAUGAUAUGAGAAGAAGAAGAAAUGGUUUGCAGUUGUUCUUCCAAUCCAUUAUGCUAAUUAUUUGGUCUCUCUGAUCUUGCCAUCACAAUGAUACUACAGAAAAAAUAGAUCCAUAAAUGCAGACGCCAUCUCUCUUCCAAAUUUUUCUCGUUAAAGAACAUCAAUUUUUUUUGUUAGGGAAUAAACAUGAAGAAACAAAGAUAUCCCUUUGGAGCUACAUAAGAUAAAUGCAUACCAAAUUACUGUUAAAAAUUAUAAACAUGCAGUGAAUAAGAAGGCUAUUGGAACUAAAAUCACAUGAUAAUUUUAUUACUAAAUGCAUUUAUGGGAUAGCAGCAUUUGUCUUCUAGAAAAUGUUACAAUUAAUUCUACUGCACCUUAGAAAUUUGGCUUGGUUAGAUAAAUAGAGAAAAAGAAAAAAAGAAUGAAAUGAUCUGGAAAAUCCAAGGAAAUUAAUUUUAAUGGCUUAAGUUAUAAUUUCUCAAAUUAUUGUUAAAAUUUUAUUAUUUUAUAAUAAAGCCUGGAAACAAUGGAUCAGUACUACAGUACUCAAACAACCUAGUCACUGUCCAGUAUGUCGGUGUUGUCCAAGAGCAAAGACAAGGUAGAGACUGGUGGAAACUGGAAGAUGUACAGGAAAAUAGUGAGACAAUGCUAGUUAGCAUCACAGCAGUUUCAAUGUAUAAAAGUCAAAUUAUUGCCAAGUUCUUUGCAGUAUAAUAUAACAAAAGAGAUUGAAAGCAUACUGCAUUUAUAGAAAACUUUCCAAAAAUGUGGUAUACCAUAGGAAGGAGUAUGAGAGUAUUUGAGGAAAAUUUAACAAAUAGAUGGCUAUGAAAAAUCAUACAGGGAGAACUAGUGGCAGUCUUUGAAAGUGAGGAUAUAAAUUUUGUUGCGUGCAGUACUGAACAAGAAUUCAGGAGAAGAGUAUACAGAAUUGAAUGGAAAAUACUAGCCAAAGCACAAGCAAAAGACUCUUUAACUUUCCAUAUUGGUAUUUUUAUUGUUUAUGUUACAGUAGAGUUUAAGAGACCAGGUUGUGUUCUUGUGCGAAGCGCAAAACAAGCAUGUAAUUUAAUAAUAUUAAAAACUAUUCUUUUACUUCUUUUCCUAAAUAGCAUAACUUUACAUGCCUUUGGGUUAGAUUUCACAACACUUUGGCACUCAUUUUGCUUGAAAUGAAUAAAUUAUAUAUACAAAGAAUCUUGAUAAU